rnacentral:rRNA from 1 species
AGAGUUUGAUCCUGGCUCAGAACGAACGCUGGCGGCGUGCUUAACACAUGCAAGUGGAGCGACGAACCAGGGCUUGCCCUGGGGCAGAGCCGCGAACGGGUGAGUAACACGUGGGUAACGUGCCCCAAUGAUCGGGACAACCCGGGGAAACCCGGGCUAAUACCGAAUGUGCUCCCCUCACACCAGUGAGGGAUGGAAAGGAAGCUUCGGCCUCCGCAUUGGGAUCGGCCCGCGGCCCAUUAGCUUGUUGGUGAGGUAACGGCUCACCAAGGCUGCGAUGGGUAGCUGGUCUGAGAGGACGAUCAGCCACACUGGGACUGAGACACGGCCCAGACUCCUACGGGAGGCAGCAGUGGGGAAUCUCGCGCAAUGCGCGAAAGCGUGACGCAGCAACGCCGCGUGGGGGAAGGAGGCCUUCGGGUUGUAAACCCCUUUCAGGAGGGACGAAGCGCGGGCGGUUAAUAGCCGACCCGU